rnacentral:lncRNA from 1 species
CGCUGUGAGAGCUCACCAAGACAAUGGAAUAGGAAAGGGCGAAAUCAAAUAGGCCAAGACCUGACUCAACACGGUAUGUUUUAAGAAACUAAAACUACUUAGGGUCUUGGGGUCAGAGAAAGAAGAGUGGAGAUGAGCCUAAAAGAGAGCAGAGGCACACAGAGGGAGGCACAGCCUAUCUGGGGACAGUGCGCCAUUUAAAGGUCAUCUUCACUUUCCCGUAAAUUGCAAAGUCUUUAAAACCAGGGUUCUUCAUCUGGUUAUCAGGGGUUACAUAAAUCCUCCAAAACUGCCCAAAAUACUGCACAGGGUACUACGUAGCAGUGUUUGGAGUUCCAAGUAGGGUGGUGAUAGGAGAAGGCAAGAGGGCUCAUAGCUUCCUCGGGGUCUCAAAGUCUCCAUGACUUAGAAAGGGACUGAUAUAAUAAGAUUCAUUUAUGAUCCAGAGUUUCUUGGGGAUAGUGGAUUCAAAA